CGGGGCAUGGCGCAGUUUGGUAGCGCGCUUGCCUGGGGGGCAAGAGGUCGUGGGUUCAAAUCCCGCUGCCCCGACCA
rnacentral:tRNA from 2 species